rnacentral:rRNA from 1 species
GACGAACGCUGGCGGCGUGCCUAAUACAUGCAAGUCGAGCGGACUUGCAGUAGUGCUUGCCCUCCUGAGAGUUAGCGGCGGACGGGUGAGUAACACGUAGGCAACCUUCCCUCAAGACUGGGAUUACUACCGGAAACGUUACGUAAAUCCGGAUAAUUUAUUACAUAGCAUUAUGUGAUAAUUAAAGACGUAGCAAUCUGGCACGUGGCGAUGGCCCGGCGGCGCAUUAGCUAGUUAGUGGGGUAACGGCCCACCAAGGCGACGAUGCGUAGCCGACCUGAGAGGGUGAACGGCCACACUGGGACUGAGACACGGCCCAGACUCCUACGGGAGGCAGCAGUGGGGAAUCUUGCGCAAUGGGCGCAAGCCUGACGGAGCCACGCCGCGUGAGUGAUGAAGGUCUUCGGAUCGUAAAGCUCUGUUGCCAAGGAAGAAAGUCUCCUAGAGUAACUGCUAUGGGAGUGACGGUACUUGAAAAGAAAGCACCGGCUAACUACGUG